GACGAACGCUGGCGGCGUGCUUAACACAUGCAAGUCGAACGGAAAGGCCCUGCUCUUGUGGGGUGCUCGAGUGGCGAACGGGUGAGUAACACGUGAGUAACCUGCCCUUGACUUUGGGAUAACUUCAGGAAACUGGGGCUAAUACCGGAUAGGAGCUCCUGCUGCAUGGUGGGGGUUGGAAAGUUUCGGCGGUGGGGGAUGGACUCGCGGCUUAUCAGCUUGUUGGUGGGGUAGUGGCUUACCAAGGCUUUGACGGGUAGCCGGCCUGAGAGGGUGACCGGCCACAUUGGGACUAAGAUACGGCGCAGAAUCCUACGGGAGGCAGCGGUGGAGAAUAUUGCACAAUGGGCGGAAGCCUGAUGCAGAAACGCCGCGUGCGGGAUGACGGCCUUCGGGUUGUAAACCGCUUUCGCCUGUGACGAAGCGUGAGUGACGGUAAUGGGUAAAGAAGCACCGGCUAGCUACGUG
rnacentral:rRNA from 1 species